rnacentral:rRNA from 1 species
UACAGAGGGUGCGAGCGUUAAUCGGAAUUACUGGGCGUAAAGCGUGCGUAGACGGUUAUUUAAGUCGGAUGUGAAAGCCCCGGGCUCAACCUGGGAAUUGCAUUCGAGACUGAAUAGCUAGGGUACGGUAGAGGGAAGUGGAAUUUCCGGUGUAGCGGUGAAAUGCGUAGAUAUCGGAAGGAACAUCAGUGGCGAAAGCGACUUCCUGGACCAGUACCGACGUUCAGGCACGAAAGCGUGGGAGCAAACAG